CUACGGGUCGCAGCAGUGGGGAAUAUUGGACAAUGGGGGAAACCCUGAUCCAGCAAUGCCGCGUGUGUGAAGAAGGCCUGCGGGUUGUAAAGCACUUUCGGUUGGGAGGACUGCUUCUAGCACUAAUAUUGUUGGAAGUUGACGUUACCUUCAGAAGAAGCACCGGCUAACUCCGUGCCAGCAGCCGCGGUAAUACUGAGGGUGCUAGCGUUAAUCGGAAUUACUGGGCGUAAAGCGCGCGUAGGCGGCUAGAUCAGUCGGGUGUGAAAGCCCCGGGCUUAACCUGGGAACUGCAUCCGAUACUGUCUAGCUUGAGUACAGGAGAGGAGAGUGGAAUUCCACAUGUAGCGGUGAAGUGCGUAGAUAUGUGGAGGAACACCAAUGGCGAAGGCAGCUCUCUGGCCUGAUACUGACGCUGAGGUGCGAAAGCGUGGGGAGCAAACAGGAUUAGAUACCCGUGUAGUC
rnacentral:rRNA from 1 species